CGCGGGUAAACGGCGGGAGUA
rnacentral:ncRNA from 3 species